AGUGAACGCUGGCGGCAUGCCUUACACAUGCAAGUCGAACGGUAACAGGUCUUCGGAUGCUGACGAGUGGCGAACGGGUGAGUAAUACAUCGGAACGUGCCUAGUAGUGGGGGAUAACUACUCGAAAGAGUGGCUAAUACCGCAUGAGAUCUACGGAUGAAAGCAGGGGAUCACAAGACCUUGUGCUACUAGAGCGGCCGAUGGCAGAUUGGGGAGUUGGUGGGAUAAAAGCUUACCAAGCCGACGAUCUGUAGCUGGUCUGAGAGGACGAUCAGCCCCGCUGGGACUGAGACACGGACCAGACUCCUACGGGAGGCAGCAGUGGGGAAUUUUGGACAAUGGGCGCAAGCCUGAUCCAGCAAUGCCGCGUGCAGGAUGAAGGCCUUCGGGUUGUAAACUGCUUUUGUACGGAACGAAAAGCCCUGGGUUAAUACCCUGGGGUCAUGACGGUACCGUAAGAAUAAGCACCGGCUAACUACGUGCCAGCAGCCGCGGUAA
rnacentral:rRNA from 1 species